GCCACUGCUGUCCCAUCCCACCAUGGAAUGCAGAGCAGGUGGGUGUCACUUACCUUGCUACAGGCUGUAAGGUUGCUCUGGGUGGUGUUCUUCUCUACCUCAGCCACUUCAUGCCCAUAUGCUUUAAAAAUGUAUCACACUGCAUGAAACUAUUAAGAUUUGAAAAAAACUACGCAGUAGAUUGAGACUAAUCACUGUAUUCUUUCCUUUUGGUUUCCUCUUUUCAUCUGAACGCAGAUAUCAACAGGUUUGCAAUCUUCCUCUUCUGUUUACUGGUUCCUUUGGCCUCCAUGGCACCGACAGAGACAUCAAAAAGCAAAGUGACUACAGGACAGAGGCAGAAUCAUUUCACUACGGAAAUACCGACCUUGGCCAUAGUAAUACAACAGAAAGCUCACGAGCUGUUUGAAUUCUAUCACAAGUGUAUCUCUGCAGCGUUCCACCCUGAGCCCUGGAGGGUUAUGUCCAAAGCCAGAGCCAUGGCAGACAGAAUACCCAAAUGUGCAGCUUUCCAGGCAAGCUGCUGUGCUUUGCACCACAUCCACAACACUCUGCAAACCCUGAGAGGGGACAUAGAAACCAUCUGCACCGAGAGCUCCAAUGACGUGGUCAAGGCCAACCUCAACCAGCUGAACACCACGCUGAGCCAAGGCACUGCCUUCUACACCUGCAGCAGCCAGGACCUGCCCCAGGUGUAUCCCCAGGGCCAGACCAUGAGCCUGGCAGACAAAAAAACCUACAUCUGGUGGGUUUUAAAGAAAUAUGAGGACAUCAUGCAGCUUACGGGAAACCUGUAUUCUGAAGCAGCAGUUUGAUAGGCCAGGAUGAAAAAAAUAACUUGAAGAUGCUGGAGAGGUGGUUAAAUGAGAUUUGUCAGGGGUUAUGGGAUCAGUUUGAUACCAGGAUAAACAUUGAUAAUGUAUGGCUAGUCUCUAUAACUAUAUCAUCUAGUUUAAUUUAAUAUUUAAAGGAUUAAUGUGGUAAAUUAUUGAUUGUAUUUAUUAUAAAAUUAUUUAUGCUGUCUUAUUUGCAAGAGCACAUAACAAGGAUGGACUAACAUCCUAAGGUAAUUUAAUUAACCAACCCUGACAUAUAUAAACAAUCAGGAAAGUGUAAUUUCAGUAAUUUUAAUGUUAUUUAUAUUUUUAUCUUGCAGUUAUUUUUCAAAAGAAAAGUUGAUUGUCAGCAGGCUGAUUUUGUACUUCUCUACUAGUGGAUUUUAUUUAUGAAUUUAUACAACACAUCUAUUUUUAUAAAUCUAUUUAAGAAAUUAGUUUAUAUAUUUAUUUAUUCAUAUUUUAAACUCAUUUUAAUACUGAAAGGGAUCUAUUUGCUAUUUAGUAGAUGAAUGAUUUUACUCAUUUCCUGUUACCACCUUUGGAUAGAAACUGAAACUUAAUAAAAUAUUAAAUAAAACAAGUAUUUCUGGAUUC
rnacentral:lncRNA from 1 species